CCUGGCUUCCUGCCUCUCCAGCCCCUGCAGGUGAACAUACUGGCAGGUGACAGACAGGUGCAUAGAGCAGGUGUUUAAGAGCAGGCCCGGGUCCUGUGUAAGGGCCCCAAGCUCGGGGUUGUCACUGCCCCCAGCAUGCUCGAGGCCCAGCCUCCCCACGGGGCUGAUAGUGCUCUCUUCUGCUUUCUCUUCCAGCCGCUGCUGGCAGCCCCAGGCUGGCGUCCAGGCCCCGGAUGUUAGGAGCCACUGCUGCCCCUUGGUCGCCUGAAGCCCUCUCUUCUUCCUGCCUCCGCUCAGAGCUCUGCAACCUGGCCCGAGCCCAGCCUGGCCCUACUUGCCGCCAGACGCUGGCAUGUCAAGGCCUGGCCCACACCUGCCUGCUCGGCCUGUGGAACCUUGGCAGUCCCUCCAGCUAGGAUGAGGGGCCAGGCCGCUGCCCCAGGUGCCCUAUGGAUUUUCCAUCCGCUGCUGCUGCUGCUGCUUGGGCUCCAGCCAAAUGUGGCCUCAGAGACGGAUGUGCAUCCUGGGGUGGGCCGUGCCCCAUGCUGGUACAGGGCAAGUUCUUUGGGUACUUCUUGGCGGCCACCGAGUUCUCUGCCAAUGCUUUGUGCUGCUCCUGGACCCUGUGCAAGCCGAACCUGCACCGCUACAAGCUCUGCAUGAAGGUGGCCAAGGUGCCCGCCUGCAGCAGUCCCGCCUGCGUCCGCAUCUACCAGUUAGAAUCCUUUCUGGAGUCCACACCCAGCUACCUGGGCCUGGAGAACUGUGAUGAGGUGCUGAGGUUCUGUGAUUCCUCGGGGCCUCGGCCUUCCUGCAGGCCAGCAAGCAGUUCCUGCAGAUCAAGAGACAGCAGAUGACACCGGGCCCCAGGGCAGGGCCCUCCCACCCCAGCGACAGCUUCUCCGUGGAACACCUGGUCCUGGGCAACCACAACCUCCGUGACGUGGCUGGUGGUCCUGAGAACUGCCUCACCAGCCUGACCCAGGAUGGGGCGGAGAUGCACUCCAGAUGCCGCUGGGAGCCCCC